rnacentral:rRNA from 1 species
GACGAACCGUGCGAACGUUGUUCGGAAUCACUGGGCUUAAAGGGCGCGUAGGCGGGCGAGCAAGUCCGGGGUGAAAUCUUUCGGCUUAACCGGAAAAGUGCCUUGGAUACUGCUCGUCUCGAGGGAGGUAGGGGCAGGUGGAACUUCCGGUGGAGCGGUGAAAUGCGUUGAUAUCGGAAGGAACGCCGGUGGCGAAAGCGACCUGCUGGAUCUCUACUGACGCUGAGGCGCGAAAGCUAGGGGAGCGAACGGG